rnacentral:rRNA from 1 species
GAUGAACGCUAGCGGCAGGCUUAAUACAUGCAAGUCGAGGGACAGCACAGGUAGCAAUACUGGGUGGUAACCGGCAAACGGGUGCGGAACACGUACACAACCUUCCUUUAAGUGGGGGAUAGCCAAGAGAAAUUUGGAUUAAUACCCCGUAAUAUAGUUGCAUGGCAUCAUUUGAUUAUUAUAGCUACGGCGCUUAAUGAUGGGUGUGCGGCUGGUUAGAUAGUUGGCGGGGUAACGGCCCACCAAGUAUACGAUCAGUAGAUGAUGUGAGAGCAUGAUCAGCCACACGGGCACUGAGACACGGGCCCGACUCCUACGGGAGGCAGCAGUAAGGAAUAUUGGUCAAUGGACGCAAGUCUGAACCAGCCAUGCCGCGUGAAGGAUUAAGGUCCUCUGGAUUGUAAACUUCUUUUAUUUGGGACGAAAAAGGGCCUUUCUAGGUCAACUGACGGUACCAGAUGAAUAAGCACCGGCUAACUCCGUGCCAGCCGCCGCCGUAAAAC